UCGAAAUUCCUUUAGUUUUUUUCCAAAUCAAAUUUCUUCGAAAGCCCAAAAUUAUUUUUCCCAAAUCCCUUUAUUUCUUCCCCAAUUUCUUUUCCCUAAUUUCCCCCAACGGAUCAAAAUUCCUAACUUUUUUCCCCAAAUCCCCUCCUUUUUGUCAUCUUUCAAAUCCUAACCCUUUUCUCUUCUGUAUAAAUUCUUCACCAGCAACAGCAACAAAAAAAUUCUCAUCGCCAUUCUUUUCGCCGAAACCAAAAAAAUUCUGAGGAAAAUAUGCAGCAGCCUCCACAGUUGAUGAGCAUCACCACUGAGAAGAUUCAAAAGGGUAGUUACUGAGCUCCCAAUUUUCUAUUUCUUUCUUUUUUUGGCCAGACCGAAUUAAGAAGGCCAGAGUUUGUAAAGGUAAUAGCAGUGAAUUUCACCCUUAUAUUUAAAACUGCUGCUUUCUCUUUGCUUGAUAUUUGAUGCUUGAAAAUAUUGCGAUAUGCUAAAUACAACACAUUUUAUCUGGUGGAUACUUUGAGAAUAGAGGUAAAUAUCAAUAGGCUGUUUAGUUGUAAACCUUUUUGCAUGCUUUGCCAUUUCAUGAAAUUGAAGAUGAGUGACAACAUUCACAUUGCGCAUGCUAUUGUCUUUCAAUUUAAAUAAGGGUGCACUUCUGUUUUUAAAAACACAAACUUGGACAUCCGAAUUUGUUGAAUUAAGCAUAUAGGGUUUGGGUGCUAGAUUUAUCACGUCUUGUUUGUUGUUUAGAUUUGGCAACAUGAUAGUAUUGGAAAACAACCCCUUUCCCCUUUUCAGAUGAUUUGUUUUUUUGAGUAUUUUUUCAGUUCCGGAGGUCUGACUCUUGCGUUGGGUUUGUCAAAUGCUUGGUUUAAAAUAAAGAAAGAAGCCAAAGGUUGGAAAAAGAAAGGGUUUGGAGUGGAAAGGAUAUCAAUGACGAAGUUAAAUGGCUUUCCCAAGGUCCGGAUAGAGCAGAAAAAAGAUAUACUGCCUUCAUCAUUAAUGGAUUCAAGUUUCAUACAAAAUCUCGCAAAAGAUUGAGGAGGACUCAAAAUUGUGGAAUAGUUGUUAAUUCUUCAAUUACAAGUUAUGCUAGUGCUAGGGACAGUAAUCCUGUUGAAGGAAAUGUGGAGUAUUACGAACUUCUUAUUGACAUUAUUGAGUUAGAUUACUAUGGCAAACGGAAGAUUGUCUUAUUUCGAUGUGAUUGGGCUGAUGUUAAUACUGCUCGCGGAAUUAAAAAAAAUCAAUUUGGUUUUACAAUAAUGAACUUCUCUCGAUUAAUUCACACUGGACAACAAUUGAUAAACGAGCCGUAUGUAUUUUCUUCUUAAGUCAAACAAGUUUUUUACUCGAAUGAUCCAACUGAUAAGGGUUGGUACGUUGUACUCCGUAACACCCCUAGAGACUUGUUUGAUAUGGGCAAUGGAAGUAGAGAUGACAUCGGCGAAAGAUUAGAAACUUUGUCUUUUCUAGAACAAAACUUAAAUGAAACAAUCUUUAGUACUAGUACACAAUUUCAAUGGGUUCGCCAAGAUGUCAAUGGGUUCGCCAAGAUGUGGAUGAAGAUAUUUCUGAAUCAUGAUGUAAUAAAAUGCAUAGAAGAAGAUUGCGAGAUCUAAGUAUUAUUCAAAAUUCUCUAAAUUCGAAAGAAACAAAUAGUGAACAACAUACUGCUAUUGGAUCUUCGAAUGUUCUGAAUACAGCUGACGAACUUGCAGAAAUUCAAACUGAAAGUGGUGGGAGGCGCAAAACUCGAGAACGUACUCUAUUAAAAGAUUUAUACGAGUUAAAUUCUGUCGAGCGUAUCAAAAUAGAUAGAAAUUGUCAUAGUCAGCCUAUUGGAUUAGAAGCUCGACUUUUAGCAGGAUACUUGGGCAUUAUUGCACGAAACGCUAAUCUGUUGCCUAUCAACUACGAGUCAUGGCAUCAUAUGCCUGAUAGUAACAAAAAUGAAGCUCUCGAUAAUAUUAAGGAGAGAUUUGCUUUAGAGGUCUAAGAUAAUUAUGUGAAGAAGACAUUAGGAAAAAAAUGGAGAGACCAUAAAAGUGCUUUAAAGAAGGAAUAUUUUAAGAAAAAUAUAAGCCUCAAAGAGAAAUUGCGAAAUGUCCCGUCGAGAAUGCUGAGGUACCAAUGGGAAAAUGCAGUUAGAUUUUGGAAUUUAAAAAUGAGAGGAUUGUGAGCGAGUUGGAACUACAAGUAGGCAAAAACAAAAAUUCACGCACACAGCUGGGUCGAAAAGUUUUGCUUCUGUAGCUGAUGACUAGGAAUUGUCUGGUCAAAAACUUGGAAACUUUCAACUUUUUGACAUUACACAUAGAAAGAAAGAUGGAUCUCCUAUGACUAUUUAAGCUGCAGAAAUUAUGGAGAAACUAAAGGAUAAAAGGGCGGAGUAUGAAGUGAUUGCUUCAAGUGAUAGUUCUGUUAAUCUUGAAGACAUUGAUAACUGAAUUAUUACUGAAGUUUUAAGUCUUGAAAGGUAUGGUCGGGUUCAAUUUCAAGGAUCUUUUAUUAACCCAACCCAAUAUUUUAGAUCCAGCUCGCAGCAAUACAUGUCUUCGGGGAAUCAGGAUCAAGCUGAAGUUCGGAGGUUAAGAGACUAGAUGGCUCAGAUGCAAGCGAGCAUAGUUGAGCAAAUUGCUCAACUUAAAGCGGAGGCAGUAUCGAGAGAAGCAAAAACUCAAAGAAAAUAUGAAGAACUCCAAGUACAACUUAAAGCGGAGGUAGCAGCGAGGGAAGAAGAGGCAAAUAGAAAAUAUGACGAACUCCAGCUACAGCUUCAGAAUAUGAUGAAGAUGUUUCAGCAGUCGCAGAAUCCGCUAUAUUAGACGUUUGUUUUCUUAUUGUAAGAACAUUUUAACAAUAUAACUUUUGAAUAUAAUAUAUUUUGUUAUUUCAUUUAUUAA